UCUUGCCUGGAAAAUUCCAUGGACAGAGGAGCCAGGCAGGCUGCAGUCCAUGGGGUCGCAAGGAGUCAGGUGGGCUUCAGUUCAUGGGGUCACAAAGAGUGGGACACGACUGAGCACUCCAGACAGUCUGGAGUGUCCAGAAGUUUGCAUUGCUCUCCUAGUGGCAGGGCCAGGGCUCAGCUGGUUCCAGAGUAGUGUCCGGCCUGUAAUGCAGGAUUACGGCUUUCUGCUUAUAGUGUCUGCUCCUUUGGGGUUCAGAAGUUAAUUAAAGCUUCUUAGAGGGAGCGGGCAGUGCAGGUGCAGGGGUGGGUAGAGCUGGGUCUCUGCCCUCAGGUGGGCUGGCCUUUCCUGGAGGCAUGUCCAAAGGCAGCCGUGGCUCUUUAGUGGUUAGGCAGCCUGUGGGCUGAUGGGAAGGCCUGUGUCCCAUCCCAGCUAGUUGGCUUGUGGGUGUUGGCUGAAGCCAGGUCUCAGGGUUAGCGAGGCAAGAUAUCAGCCGUUGCAGGGCCCUGUGGCUGAACGCUCCCCAAUAUGUGUCUCCAUCCCCAUGGUGACCUGCAGCCACCCCUCGCUUCUCCAGGAGAGGCUCCAAGACCAGCAGGAUUGACUGGACUGGACCACCAGGGAAGUCCAAGUUAUAUAUUUUUAUAACUUCUCUGUCUGGCACAUGUGGAUGAAGACUGACCCCUGCCAUACCAGUAAACAAAUGGUGUUGCAGCCAUCAAGCCAUCAGCCACUGCAGCAGCCUCUACUGUGCCCCUGAGGGGCUUCAGGAUGGAGAAAAGCAGGAUCCUGGCCCUAUAUAGUUAAGGAGCACAUCAAAGUGUCAUUGCCAGACAAGCAGCCAGUGUUUCCUUAUUGAUCUAAAUCAAGUCCAGAAUGGCAGUUCUUGCUGCUUCCUCUACCAGCUGAGCAGGGAACUGUCAGCAAGGCAAGCCAAGAAUUUAUCAGCUGUAAUUCUC